CGCGCAGGCGGUCGUUCAAGUCGCGUGUGAAAGCCCCCGGCUCAACUGGGGAGGGUCACGCGAUACUGAUCGACUCGAAGGCAGGAGAGGGUAGUGGAAUUCCCGGUGUAGUGGUGAAAUGCGUAGAUAUCGGGAGGAACACCAGUGGCGAAGGCGACUACCUGGCCUGUUUCUUGACGCUGAGGCGCGAAAGCUAGGGGAGCAAACGG
rnacentral:rRNA from 1 species